rnacentral:rRNA from 1 species
UUAUGCUGAUAAGAGCGUAUGGUGGAUGCCUUGGCACUAAGAGCCGAUGAAAGACGUGAUAAGCUGCGAAAAGCUUCGGGGAGGGGCAAAUACCCAUUGAUCCGGAGAUUUCUGAAUGGGGAAACCUACCUGAGCAAACCUCAGGUAUCCUGACGCCAAUCCAUAACGUCAGGAAGGGAACCCGGUGAACUGAAACAUCUAAGUAGCCGGAGGAAGAGAAAACAACAUGUGAUUCUGUGAGUAGCGGCGAGCGAAAACGGAAGAGCCCAAACCAGUGUGCGUGCAUGCUGGGGUUCGGACCGCGGAAUUGAUUCAACGAGUUUAGCAGAACGGUUUUGGGAAAGCCGGCCAGAGAGGGUGAAAGCCCCGUAAGCGAAAGACGAGUUGACAUGGCGGGAUCCAGAGUACCACGAGACACGUGGAACCUUGUGGGAAUAUGCGGGGACCACCCCGUAAGGCUAAAUACUACUUAGUGACCGAUAGCGCAUAGUACUGUGAAGGAAAGGUGAAAAGGACCCCGGGAGGGGAGUGAAAGAGAACCUGAAACCCUGUGUUUACAAGCUGUCGAAGCACGCAAGUGCGACGGCGUACUUUUUGUAGAACGGUCCGGCGAGUUAUGAUGAGUGGUAAGGUUAAGGACUUAAGGUCCGGAGCCGAAGCGAAAGCGAGUGUUAAAAGCACGUAGAAUCGCUUAUCAUAGACCCGAAACCGGGUGAUCUAUCCAUGUCCAGGUUGAAGCUGCCGUAAGAGGUAGUGGAGGACCGAACACACAUCCGUUGAAAAGGGUGGUGAUGAGGUGUGGAUAGGGGAGAAAUUCCAAUCGAACCCGGAGAUAGCUGGUUCUCCUCGAAAUAGCUUUAGGGCUAGCCUCGAUACAGAUUUGCGGAGGUAGAGCACUGAAUUUCCUAGGGGGCGUCAAAGCCUACCGAAGAAUAUCAAACUCCGAAUGCCGCGUAAUCGAUUAUCGGGAGUCAGACUGCACGAGAUAAGUUGGGCGGUCAAAAGGGAAAGAGCCCAGACCUUCAGUUAAGGUCCCAAAGUGCGCGUUAAGUGGAAAAGGAUGUGGGAUUUCGAAGACAACCAGGAUGUUGGCUCAGAAGCAGCCAUCCAUUCAAAGAGUGCGUAAUAGCUCACUGGUCGAGAGGUCCUGCGCCGAAAAUGUCCGGGGCUGAAACGCGCCACCGAAACUAAGGAACCGAAAGGUUGGUAGAGGAGCAUUGCAUGCGGGAAGAAGCAGUACCGUAAGGAGCUGUGGACUGCAUGGAAGAGAGAAUGCCGGAAUGAGUAGCGAGAAUAAGGUGGGAAUCCUUAUGGCCGAAUAUCCAAGGUUUCCAGAGUAAAGCUGAUCUGCUCUGGGUAAGUCGGGGCCUAAGGCGAGGACGAGAGUCGUAGCCGAUGGACAACAGGUGGAGAUUCCUGUACUGCGGUAUGACAGAACUGUGGGGACACGUAAGGAAAGCGGAAGCCGGGAAUGGAAAGCCCGGUGCAAGCGGGGUACCAGCCACUUUGGCAAAUCCGGGUGGCAAUGGGAAGCCGUGAUGCGGAGCGAAAUACAAGUAGCGAAGUCCGUGAGCCAUGCGUCAAGAAAAGCCGCUAUUGUUUAUACCGUACCCGUACCGUAAACCGACACAGGUGGAUGAGGAGAGAAUCCUAAGGCCGGCGGAAGAAGCAUUGUCAAGGAACUCGGCAAAAUGACCCCGUAACUUCGGGAGAAGGGGUGCCUGCGAGAGCAGGCCGCAGAGAAUAGGCUCAAGCAACUGUUUAGCAAAAACACAGGUCUAUGCGAAACCGAAAGGUGAGGUAUAUGGGCUGACGCCUGCCCGGUGCUGGAAGGUUAAGAGGAGAGGUUAGCGCAAGCGAAGCUUUGAAUUUAAGCCCCAGUAAACGGCGGCCGUAACUAUAACGGUCCUAAGGUAGCGAAAUUCCUUGUCGGGUAAGUUCCGACCC